rnacentral:sRNA from 1 species
UUCGGCCUGUCCAUCGCUCAGCUCAUUGACGUGGUCCCCUCAGAGUCCCCAUCCUGGGCUCGGCUGCCUCCAGGGACGGGGCACUCACCACCUCCAGAGG